rnacentral:rRNA from 1 species
GAUGAACGCUGGCGGCGUGCCUAAUACAUGCAAGUCGAGCGAACGAACGUGAAGCUUGCUCCUCUGAUAUUAGCGGCGGACGGGUGAGUAACACGUGGAUAACCUACCUUUAAGACUGGGAUAACUUCGGGAAACCGGUGCUAAUACCGCAUGAUAUCUUUAACCGUAUGGUUCAAGAGUGAAAGACGGUAUUGCUGUACCUAAUAGAUAUACCCGCGUUUCUUUAGCUAGUUGGUAAGGUAACGGCUUACCAAGGCAACGAUGCAUAGCCGACCUGAGAGGGUGACCGGCACAACUGGAACUGGGAACCGGCCCAAACUCCUACGGGAGGCAGCAGAGGGGAAUCUUCGGAAAUGAGCGAAGGCCGGACGGAGCACCGCGGGGUGGGUGAUGAAGGUCUCCGGAUCGUAAACCUCUGUGAUUAGGGAGGAAGAUAUGUGGAGGUAACUGCGCAUCAAGUGACGGUACCUAAUCAGAAAGCCACGGCUAACUACGUG